rnacentral:rRNA from 1 species
UGGGGAAUAUUGCACAAUGGGCGCAAGCCUGAUGCAGCCAUGCCGCGUGUGUGAAGAAGGCCUUCGGGUUGUAAAGCACUUUCAGCGAGGAGGAAGGUGGUGAGCUUAAUACGCUCAUCAAUUGACGUUACUCGCAGAAGAAGCACCGGCUAACUCCGUGCCAGCAGCCGCGGUAAUACGGAGGGUGCAAGCGUUAAUCGGAAUUACUGGGCGUAAAGCGCACGCAGGCGGUUUGUUAAGUCAGAUGUGAAAUCCCCGGGCUCAACCUGGGAACUGCAUUUGAAACUGGCAAGCUAGAGUCUCGUAGAGGGGGGUAGAAUUCCAGGUGUAGCGGUGAAAUGCGUAGAGAUCUGGAGGAAUACCGGUGGCGAAGGCGGCCCCCCUGGACGAAGACUGACGCUCAGGUGCGAAAGGCGUGGGGCAGCAAACAGGAUUAGAUACCCUGGUAGUCACGCUGUAAACGAUGUCGAUUUUGGAGGUUGUGCCCCUUGAGGCGUGGCUUCCGGAGCUAACGCGUUAAAUCGACCGCC